AAAGCCGGCAGGACGCAGCUCAGAGUGCAGCUGGGUCUGGGGGAUCCCAGGUCCCCCAGAGGGGAGGGGCCCCUGCUCCCAGGCUGCCGGAGUGGGAGGGGCUGGGAUUUCCUCCGCUGAGCCAGCUCGGCAUGUGCAGAACGGCAGGAAAUCUGAGUCACCCCCUGUGCGCAUUGCCAGCUGAAGUUGAACAAAGCCACACGCUGCCUUCUCAUUUUGGCUCCUACACCGUAAACAAAUGUCGUUGUUGAGAUGUGGCACCAAAGUGCUAAAAAACACCAAAGUGUUGGGGUGAGCUUCGCGGAGAGAAAUACUUGCUAGGACUGCACAGAAAACCGGGUUACAUGUUGAUCCGCGGACAAAAAUGCAACCAGUGGCUCAGAGGAACCUAACCCUGUGUAACCCCUAAGAGCAAUGGCUCAGAAUUUGCUAAUCCAGCAUUUGCAGUAAGUUUAUAGAAUAUAAAUACUGUGAAUAACAAGAACCAACUGUGUAUGAUUUACCAUUCCUAUUAUGCAGAUGAGAAAACAGGCUUAGAAGAAUUCAAUCCCUUUCCAAGGUCACAGGGCUAGCUGUGUCCUCAGACGUGGGAUUCAAACCCAGCUCCAUGGAUGCCAAUUCUGCAGCUCCUCCCCACAGAGCCCAGGCAUCUGGAACCCCUAGAGGGGACGGUGUUCCGCUGGACUGCUCAACCACGCUGCUGUCUCCGUCUGGAAACACUACAAGGUGGCCUGGAAACUUGUUCCCUGUCCUGGCCCCUGAAUAGGUGGCGACGAGGGUUGGGGGCAGCUGCUGGUUGGUAGAGAAGCAGGUGCCAGCAAAAGGAGCCACAUGGGUGGCCGGUCACAUAUCGCUGACUCAUGGAGGGUGGCUAAGGGUUAGGGGAGGCCCAAAGGGGCCGGGUCCAAGCCCUGCUCCUCCACUGGCUGGCUGUGACCUCAGAGCAGCUCCUCAGUGCCCCGAGUCCCUGGUCUAUACAGGUAGAGCUAACUUCACCUUUUGGAAGGGCUGAGAGGCACACCUGGGACAGCUCACUGUGCAUCUUAGAGACCAAGCGACACAGUGAUUCGCGUGCACCUCUGAGCGAGCUCAGGAAGAGGGGCAGGCCUUCACCCUGUCCAUUUCACAGAUGAGGUAGCUGAGGCUCAGCGUGAGGGGCUGGGGUUCUGGGUCAGGACUCUUGUAGUGUGAACACAGGAUGGAGAGGAAACAUUGGGGGCCACAAGACCCCCUGGGGGAAAGAGAAGACGACCAGAGGGGGAAUGAGUCUAUCCCAACCCACCUUUUAGUUUUGCCAGUUUUUUUUUUUUUUUAAGAUUUUAUUUAUGGGAGAGAGAAAGAAAGCAUGAGCAAGUAGAGGGGCAGAGAGAAGCAGACUCUCCACGGGGCAGGGAGCCCAAUGCAGGGCUUGAACCCAGGACCCUGGGAUCAUGACCUGAGCCGAAGGCAGGUGCUUAACUGAGUGAGCCACCCAGGUGCCCCAGUUUUGCCAGCUUCCAACUGGAAUGUAGAAAAUAGGGCUGGGCAUGGCCUUGGGGCAUCCGUUCUGCAAAUGCUUGUCCACCCGCUAUUGUGCCCCAAGCACUAUGCUGGACAGUGAUGUGGGGAUGCUGCUGCCAUCGGCCAUAGUCCGAUAUGGUCCAUAAAGCCCUUUGUGCAGGGGGCUCAUGAAGCCAAAUAAAAACACUCUCCCAUUGGAAGUCGACUGUUAGAGCAGUUUUUACCUGCGGAAUUAGCAAGCCACAUGGGAGGAGCCGGUUUCAGAAGCAUCAUGGUCAGGGAGAGGGUCCGUGAGU